AGACUGUGUGAAGGACUCAGCUUUCUAGCAGGUUGUUAUGUGCUUGAGUUAAUGCACCAAACAGAAGGGCAAGCUUCGCUAGGCUCCGCUAUGAGGACUGUCCUCUUAAGGCCUCAUGGAUCAGAGACCUUCUAAGGGUGUAUGUCUAGAAGUGGAAUUCCUGGGUUGUAAGGAAUAUAAGUGCAAGGUUCAGAGCUUACCUAUCCAGGCUACCUGAAAUGGCUGAGAAAUAUCAAGUAUCCAGCAAACCUGUUGACAAGUUACAACUCCUAGACGUUAAACUCCAUUUGUCACUGCUGGAUCCCCAAUGCCCAGAAGAGGAGGUAGGCUCAAGCAGGUUCUGAAGACACAACUGGAUUGCAUGAGCAGAUACACAAAUCUUCAGCAUCAUGUGGGACAACUUCCUCUGAAAAUAACCUAAAAACUGAGCAACUUCUACACAUCAGGCAUACAAGAGAAGGCCCACAGUGAGGCUCAUUGAAUGAGAAGGUGGCAUUUUCUUCUCUUCAUCACACAAGCUUGAAAACCACCAGGCUGCAUGGUCCCCAAAGCUUCUCCUUCAUCCUGCCCCUAACAGCAUGCUUCUCACAAGGACAGUAUGUCUGGGUCAAUAUCUGGUUGCAACUCCUCCGGGUGCCUCUGGUUCACGGUCUCUCUUGAAGUCUCAGUCAAACUCUUCACUGUGGCUGCAGUCUCAUCUGAAGGCUGUCCUGGAGGGAAGGAGCCCACUUACAAGCUCACUCUUGUGGUUGCUGAGUUGUUGGCUGGCCUCGUGCUCUUGCCCUGUGGGUCUCUUCACAGGGAUGUUUCAUGAUGUGGCAGCUGGUUUUCAUCAGGGUAAGCAGAGUCACAGUUUUUUUUACCUCAUCCCAGAAGUGACAUAUCACCCCUUUUGCCAGUUCUUUUUUGUAAGAAGGGAGUUGAUAAAUUCAGCCUACACUGAAGGGGAGAGGAUUGUACAGGGCAGGAAUACCAGGAGGUAUCGGUCAUUAUGGGUCAUCUUAGAGGCUGCCUACCACAGCUAGUUUCUGAGAGUGUGAAAAAGGAUCAGAAACAGCAACUUUAAAAUAGCCUAUAAUCUUC
rnacentral:lncRNA from 1 species